rnacentral:rRNA from 1 species
GAUGAACGCUGGCGGCGUGCCUAAUACAUGCAAGUCGAGCGAACGGACGAGAAGCUUGCUUCUCUGAUGUUAGCGGCGGACGGGUGAGUAACACGUGGAUAACCUACCUAUAAGACUGGGAUAACUUCGGGAAACCGUAGCUAAUACCGGAUAAUAUUUUGAACCGCAUGGUUCAAAAGUGAAAGACGGUCUUGCUGUCACUUAUAGAUGGAUCCGCGCUGCAUUAGCUAGUUGGUAAGGUAACGGCUUACCAAGGCAACGAUGCAUAGCCGACCUGAGAGAGUGAUCGGCCACACUGGAACUGAGACACGGUCCAGACUCCUACGGGAGGCAGCAGUAGGGAAUCUUCCGCAAUGGGCGAAAGCCUGGCGGAGCAACGCCGCGUGAGUGAUGAAGGUCUUCGGAUCGUAAAGCUCUGUUAUUAGGGAAGAACAUAUGUGUAAGUAACUGUGCACAUCUUGACGGUACCUAAUCAGAAAGCCACGGCUAACUACGUG